UCGGAUAUGGUGUAACGGCCAACAUUACCGCCUCUCAAUCGAUCGCGGUAGCUCGGGGUUCGAUUCCCCGUAUCCGAG